rnacentral:rRNA from 1 species
GUAGGUGGCAAGCGUUGUCCGGAAUUAUUGGGCGUAAAGCGCGCGCGGGCGGUUCUUUAAGUCUGAUGUGAAAGCCCACGGGCUCAACCGUGGAGGGUCAUUGGAAACUGGAGAACUUGAGUACAGAAGAGGAAAGCGGAAUUCCACGUGUAGCGGUGAAAUGCGUAGAGAUGUGGAGGAACACCAGUGGCGAAGGCGGCUUUCUGGUCUGUAACUGACGCUGAGGCGCGAAAGCGUGGGGAGCAAACAGGAUUAGAUACCCUGGUAGUCCACGCCGUAAACGAUGAGUGCUAAGUGUUAGGGGGUUUCCGCCCCUUAGUGCUGCAGCUAACGCAUCAAGCACUCCGCCUGGGGAGUACGGCCGCAAAGGCUG